GGUGUGUCCACAGCUCAAAGUUCUAUUGUUAGGACUGGAUGAUGGUUUGAAUGUUCCAGAGAGGUUUUUUGAAGGGAUGAAAGAAAUUGAAGUUUUGUCUCUAAAGGGAGGGUGUUUGUCAUUGCAAUCACUUCAAUUCUCAACGAACCUUCAAUCGUUGCUGUUGAUCGAGUGUGAAUGCAAGGUCCUCAUUUGGUUGAGAAAGCUGCAAAGACUUAAGAUUCUUGGUUUCAUUGGGUGCGGCUCCGUUGAAGAAUUACCUGAUGAAAUUGGGGAGCUCAAGGAGUUAAGGUUGUUGGAUUUGACAGGUUGUCGAUUCCUAAAAAGGAUUCCAGUGAAUUUGAUAGGAAGGUUGAAGAAGUUAGAAGAACUGUUGAUCGGGGAUGGGAGCUUUGAGGGAUGGGAUGUUGUUGGAUGUGACAGCACAGAAGGAAUGAAUGCAAGCCUAACAGAGCUAAAUUCGCUGUCUCAUUUAGCUGUAUUAUCAUUGAAGAUACCGAAGGUUGAAUGCAUUCCCAAAGAUUUUGUUUUUCCCAGGUUGCUCGAAUAUGAUAUAGUGUUAGGGGAUCGGUAUUAUUUAUUCUAUAAAAAACACACAGCCUCGACAAGAUUAUAUUUGGGUGAUAUAAACGCCGCAUCCUUAAAUGCAAAGACGUUUGAGCAGUUGUUUCCUACUGUGUCUCAUAUUGAUUUUUGGAGAGUGGAGAGUUUAAAAAAUAUAGUAUUGUCCUCUGAUCAGAUGACCACCCAUGGCCAUUGGUCGCAAAAGGACUUCUUUCAAAGAUUAGAACAUGUAGAAGUGAGCGCUUGUGGGGAUAUUCGCACUCUGUUUCAAGCAAAAUGGCGGCAAGCUUUGAAAAAUCUAAGGAGUGUGGAAAUUGAUCACUGCGAAUCAUUGGAAGAGGUAUUUGAAUUGGGUGAGGCUGAUGAAGGAAUGAACGAGGAGGAGGAGCUGCCGCUGCUGCCAUCUUUAACAACGUUACGGCUGUUGCAUUUACCUGAGCUCAAUUGUAUAUGGAAGGGGCUCACCAGACAUGUCAGCCUCCAAAAUCUUAUUUUUCUGGAGUUGCACUAUCUUGACAAACUGACAUUUAUCUUCACACCGUUCCUCGCUCAGUGUCUUAUUCAUCUGGAAACACUACGGAUAGGAGAUUGCGAUGAAUUGAAGCGUCUUAUCAGAGAAGAGGAUGGUGAAAGGGAAAUAAUUCCAGAGUCUCUUGGCUUCCCAAAAUUAAAAACUCUCUCUAUAAGUCGCUGUGAUGAACUGGAAUAUGUCUUCCCUGUCUCCGUGUCUCCAAGUCUUCAGAACCUGGAAGAGAUGGAGAUUGAUUUUGCUGACAAUUUAAAGCAAGUAUUUUACAGUGGAGAAGGAGAUGACAUCAUCGUCAAGUCUAAAAUUAAAGAUGGCAUCAUCGACUUCCCUCAGCUAAGAAAAUUGUAUCUUUCAAAGUGCAGCUUUUUUGGUCCAAAGGAUUUUGCUGCCCAAUUGCCUUCUUUGCAAUGUCUAAGCAUCUGUGGCCACGAAGAAGGGGGUAAUUUGUUGGCACAGCUUCGAGUACGUCCUUUAUAUUUCUCCAUUUUUUUUUUCUUUUCGAAUUUAAAUUGUCAACUUCAAUACAUUGUGAUAAUUUGUUCUAUCUUUUAAAACAAUAGAGUCAAAAAGUAAAAAUUGAAACUUUCUUUUUAAAUACAAUAUUUUCUCAUUCAAAGAACUUCAAAAGCACCAAAUUUGUAUUGAAUUCAAAAAACAUAUAUUUUUUAUAUAUAUUUUUCAUUUUUUUUUCAAUUUUUUUCACUUUUUUAUGAAAAAAAUAAUUUAAAUGAUCAAUAAUCAAGCAUUUUUAUUAAAAUUUUUUUAUUAAUAUGUAAAAUUCAAAUUAUUUUCUUUUAUAUUUUUAUUUUUGGAUAAUGACAUAAUUUUUUUUAUUAUAAAUCGAAUAUAAAAAAUUAAUUUUUUUGAGUUAAUAAAUAUAUUUUUUCAUGAUUGCUUUCAAUUUAAUUAAUAUAAAAUAAUAGUUUAUAUUCAGAUUAUCAUAAAUAUAAAAAAAUAUGAUUUUAUAUUCCCAUUGUUUUCUUUUGAUGCAGGUAGGGUUUAUGAAUUUGAAAAAAAUAUCUAUUAAAAACAUGGAAGGAGUACAAGAUUUAAUGCAAGUUGGAUGUUUGGUAACUAAUAGAAGAGGUGGGCAUGAACUUUCACUCUUGAGUUCGGAAACAUUACAUUUGAACUUAUUGCCAGACUUGAGGUGUAUUUGGAAGGGUCUCAUACCAAACAAUUUGACUACUUUGGAGGUGAAAAAUUGUGACAGACUGACACAUGUAUUCACAACCAACAUGAUUGCUAGUCUAGUUCAACUUAAUGUUCUUGAGAUAUCAAAUUGUGAGGAAUUGGAGCAAAUAAUUGCUAAGGAUAAUGAGGAUGAAAAUAAUCAAAUAUUUUCAGGAAGUGAUCUCCAAUCUUCAUGCUUCCCUAAUUUGUGUCGCCUUGAGAUCACAGGAUGCAACAAGUUGAAGAGUCUCUUUCCAGUAGCUAUGACUUCAGGUCUCAAAAGGCUUCAAAUACUUAAAGUAAAAGAAUCCUCUCAAUUAUUGGGAGUAUUUGGGCAAGAUGAUCAUGCUUCACCUGCCAAUGUUGAGAAGGAGAUGGUGCUCCCUGAUCUGGAGUGGCUGAUUCUAGAAAAAUUACCAAGCAUUGUCUACUUCAGUCAUGGAUGUUGUGAUUUCAUAUUCCCUUGUUUGAGGAGGUUGGAGGUGCGUCAAUGUCCAAAGCUGACUACAAAAUUUGCUACUACAUCAAAUGGUUCAAUGAGUGCUCAAUCAGAGGUGCUGCAUAUUUGACAUGAUUUCUUGCCUUUUUUUAGUGUUUUCCUCAAUAAUAAGACUUACAAGUUAGAAUGUGUAUGCCAUGCUUGAAUUGGUUUUCCAGGUAUCUCAAGCAGUUGAGGAUUCAAGUACUGGGUGCUCCGUGCCAACCAGAACUUAUAGAAUAUGGACCCCAUAUAAUGGGUGGGAAGAGAAAAAGGAAGAGGAUGUGGUCAUAAUGAUUGAGUCAGAUGAUUAGUUUGGCAUUGGAAUUUGAAAAGCAUGCUAGUACGUCAUUCAUUCUUGCAGGUAAAAUGGCUGCAACUAUUUAUCUUCUAUGCUUCUUUAAAUGGUUGGAUUAAAUCAACAAAUACGAGAUGCCUGGAUGAUCUUUGUUCUUGAUGUUUGCAUUAGGUUGGUUAGUUACCUAUGUGAUGAUCAACUCGACAUUGGUGGGAAGUAAUUCCAGCAGUAUCAUUAGCUACAACAAUUUGUCUUAUUUCAUGUGUUUGUUGUGUGAACUUCCAGAAAUAAGGGUAAUGUCAUGUGUUUAGUAAUUUAUUGUGCGAACCUCCAAAAAAGGGCUUUCGUUUGUUUGCCCAUUUGUGUUUCUUUUUCAAGUGUCUGAACCUUAAAAAACGAAGGGCAUAAUGUUUACUCAUUUGUGUGCUUAUUGUUUAAUGUGUGAAUUCUCAUUCUUCUCAUUUAUUGAAGUAAAUCAACAUAUGCGGUAUUCCUGGAUGGUCUUUGUUCUUCAUGUUUGCAUCAGGCAAGGUUGGUUACCUAUUACAUGAUCACCACCUGACAUUAGGUGAUUUCACGAAUAUUGAUUUAUCUAUCUAUUUGUUUGUUGUGUGAACUUCCAGAAAAUAAGGGCGUAUAUUUGCUUGCCCACUUGUGCUUCUUUUCAAGAGUCUGAACCUUAAAACACACGGGCAUAAUGUUUACUCGUGUUUGUGCUUAUUGUUUAGUGUGGAUUCUCAUUCUCCUCAUCAACAUGUUUUUUCUAUCAUUUUGAUGCUCUAUUUCUAUUAAAUAUUUUUAAUGUGGCAACAAGGAUGAAGAAUUAUACCAUAUAUCAAAUAAUAAAUCAAAAGCAUCAAUGAAAAAGAAAUCCCCUUUCUAUUUGGGCUGUCUAAAGCUGAACUAACUAGAUUAAUUUUGUCACACAGUAAGAACAUGUUAAAUCCAACAUCAUCAGCCAGACCCAAGAUUGAACCAAAAUAAAAACCAAUAUAAUAAGUUUUAUUAACCAAUACAAUAAGAACAUGGAUUGGUGUGCAUGUGAGCUCAUGAGUUUUAUUAAGUUUUUAUUUUGAUCAGUAAUUUCUUUUAGUCCCUAAAACAUCUUACUACAUGAACUAAUAUAUAUUUCAUCAAAAAAAAAAAACAUGAACUAAUAUAAUAAUUAUAUGAUAAAAAUAAAUGUGUUUAUGAGUAAUUCAUGAGCUAUAAAUAAUCAUGGAUAUAUUUCAUGAAUUAUGAACAUUUAUCACAAUUAAUAAACAUUCAUAUGAAUGAUAAGUAAUUAAUGUUUUGGUUUAUAAUUCAUAUAAAUAGAUGUUUUAGCUGUUAACCUUUUGAUUUUGGCUAAAUUUUAAUGGAAGCAAUAAACUUGUUAUUAAAUUUAAAUACACAUACACAAAUAUUUCUCUAAGAUAAAAAAAUAACUCAAGAACAUUAGCAGAUUGUUUGCCUAAAUUGGAGCUGUUCAAGCAGGUCUGGACUUUCUCUCUAGCUGGUCUGCUUCUCGGUUUACACCAGCACAUUUGUUCAAGCAGAUGACAGGAUAAAAGUUGAUUAAUUUUUUUUAUUAACCAAAUAUAACCUAAUUUUUUUUCAUUUAAUUUCUGAUUUUCUGAAAGCAUUUGAUUAUUACAACAUAAAAUAGGAUAAAAGUUGAAAAACAAAAAGCACCCACACCUACAUAAUAAAAUGGGCAGAUUAUAUGGUCACAAUCACAUUAGCAGAUUUCAGCUACAAAUUACAAAUUCAAAUUGAUAUGAAUGUUGUACAGAUUAUCAUGGACCAUGUUCUCCCUGAGUGGGUCCAAAUUGAUAUGAAUGUUGUACAGAUUAUCAUGCAAUGUUUCUAUUUGAUAGAUGAGAUUUCUAAAGAAAAAGUGUAUACUCUGAAUAUAUAAUUCAAGUAAUUCUUGACCAUUAAAGUUAUAUAUGAUAUUACCAUUCAAUCAUAUUUUUUUCAAAAUAAUUUUUUUAUUAUUAUUAUUUUGAUAUAUAUUAAAAUAAAUUUUAAAAAAUAAAAAAUAUAUUAUUUUAAUAUAUUUUCAAGUAAAAACUAUUUUAAAAAAUAAAUGCAAUCAUAUACAUAAAAAGACACUAAAUAAUAAGUUACUCAUUUUAAAAUUAGUUAAUUUUAUUUACAAUAACUCCAAAAUUCAGGUAAAAUCUAUCAUUAGUUUUUCACCUUUAAUUGUUUUUUGUUUUCAUGCAUCUUUUCCCGUCAAUUUAUUUUGAAAAACUUAAUUAGCACUAGUUUUUAAUGCAAAAUUUACAAAAAAAAAUCAAAAUCAAAAUCAAAAUCUUCCGCUGCUUUUUCUUUCAGUAACAUGUAUGAAUGAUCUAGAACAUCAAUAAAAAGCCCCCGAGUUGGAAAAUUAGGUGUGGGGAGAGACAACUUGGCUUGCUCAAAUAAAUGUAUUGCCUCAUAAACCGGUUGAACCAUCCAAAAUGAAUUCACUAAUUGGAACACUAAAAAUGACAGAAGGAAAAUGAUUUUUUUUAUUAACGUGGGUGUCCGGGUCAGCUUGCGCGUACUUCGACUAAUCUCACCAAACCUAAAAUUAAGGACCAUGUAAGCCUCCAGUGACCAUCAUAUUAGCAACCACAUGGUUUAAAUAUGAGAUCAGAAACAAAUCUUUUAGUUUCAAAUUCUUACUAUUGGAUCACCUAUUAGAUAAUUAAAAAAAUAAUUUAUUUAUCAUAGCAUUGAUGUGGUAAAAAGCUAGUAAAUCCCAGAUUAAGUUCACACAUUUCAUCAAUCAAAUAAAGUUAAUGAAACAAUGCUAUUCUCCAUUCAACCUGUGCAUGAUAACCAUGUAUUUAGCAAACUUAUUAAAUUUCACCUAAUUUAUGAUUUAGUUUAAAGUUUGAGUCACAAAUUAAACGAAUUAAUUCCAUUUUAUUUAUUUCAAUUCAAAACAAAAAUUAUUUUAUUUAAAAAAAAUUAAAAACAUAUUAAUAUUUUAAAAAAAAAUUAAAACUAUAGAUAUAUUAGUCAAUCAAGAUCAAAUCUAGCUUAGAGUCGGAUUGACCAUGUCUCAUAUUAACAUUUCAAGCCAAAUCAAGUUUAAUUUUCAUAUAUAUAUAUAUAUAUAUAUAUAUAUAUAUAUAUAUAGUAUUCUUGUUUCAACUUAUACAUAACUAGACUAAACCCUUUUUUCGUCGGAUUCAUGCAAUCCAUCUAAGCUGAGGGCCUUAAACUAGCACCAAAAGAAUAAUCGCAUUUUCAAUGCGAAAAGCUAGUAUCAAGAUUUUCAUGAGAUCAUAUUGAUCUAUCUACAUUUUGAAAUGCAUGAAAAACCCACAAGGCAAAAGACAUGUCUUUAAUUCUAUUACCUUCAUAUAAAAUUUUUUCAAAACAUUCAGACAAUUAUCAGGGCUUCACCUAUCCUACAUUGGCCUAAGACAUGUAUAAAAGGAAAAACCUAUUUUUCAUACACAGAAUCAUAAUUUUCAAGAAUUCAAAGUACACAGGACUUGACUAGUUCUCCUCUUUUCUUGAAACAUGAUUACAGAAUCAAAGUGAAGCAUUGAGGUUAAUUCUGGGCUUCUUUGUUACUAAUGGAGAUGGAACAGUGAAGUUGCAACUAGGGCACUUGGGAUUUUUCUUCAAUGUAAUCACAUAUAGCAAGCAACCAGGACAAGCAGCAGCAAAUAUCCCUGUUGAAGAGAAUGGAGUGCUAAUCUCAUCUUCUUUAAUGUCACUGGCUGGUGGGGUUGGUGGUGGUGAUCUCUUCUUAGUCAUGGUCUCUUUCUCUGCUCUUUGCAAAGCAGACUUAACCUUAUCAAGAGUGCAAACACUUUCAAAAUGACUUGAAGGUACAAGUUUCAAUUCCAAGCAGCUUUCUUCCAAGAACUUCAGUGGCGGAGAAUUAGAAUCUUGAACCUCUGAUUCUUGGGUGGUUCUCUGUUUGUGAUGCUUCGUGUUGUUAAGGGAUGGUAAUGGCGAGCUUACAGAGUUGCAUCUCUGCGAGUAUACCUUCCCUGCAGACUGCAUGAAAAUCCCAAUUCAUCAACAAUAUUAUUCGACUACAGCCAAAAACAAGAACACUCAGUUCUUCUACACUUAAAAAUAAAAGAUUUAUGUUUCUUGGCUACUGAAAAAUAUAUAUUUAAUCGAAAUGAUAACCAGAAGCAUAAAUUCUGUACAAAAACUGUUCAUCAAUAUGAGAGACUAUCAAGAUUGUUUCUUGUCUAUAAAAAAGAUUGGGGAUAAAACCAUACCUUUAAAUUAAGAGGCACAUCCCAAGUUUUUGUGACUUGCAAUUCCAGAUCCAAAUCUUUGUUACUAACCUUUGAAAACCCUCCUAGCAAGUCUUUUGUGAUCAAAAUCUCUGAAUUGCUACUGCUGUUCACCAUUGAGCUCACGUCCGCUGCCAUGCCUAACCUUCUGUCUUUAACCCUUCUAGAGGAGGGAGAAAGUGUGAAAUAUAUAUGGAACAAUUUUUAUGAGGGAAUAAAUAAUAGGGCAAGGAGUUAUGAAGCAAGACAGAAGUAAUAAUUAAUAGUGAGAAGCAAAAAUCAAUGAAGUCCAUUAAAAAAUCAAGAUAGAAGUAAUAAUUAAUAGUGAGAAGCAAAAAUCAAUGAAGUCCAUUAAAAAAUCAAGAUAGAAGUAAUUAUUGUUGCAUUUAAUUUGGUCCUUCCCCCAAAUUACUCCCGAAGAGUAUUUAUAAAUGUGGUGGUAAUAGUUAUUUUUUUAUAAUGUUUUUAUUUAAUAUUAAAAUAAUAUUUUUUUUGUUUUUAAAAAAAUUAUUUGUAAUAUUAUUACAUCAAAAUGAUUCAAAAAUAUCAAUAAAUUAAUUUUAAAUAAAUUAAUUUUUUAAAUUUCCAUAAAUCAUUGUUUGAAAUACAAUUUAAAAAAAAACAUUACUCUUACCUAUGAUGGUAACCACAUAAACUUUAUGAUAUUUAAGUGGUAGGUUUCAAAAUAUACUAUAUAGAAACCUGGUUAAAUUUAAAUUGAUUUGGUGAAAUUUAACCAACUUAAUCUAUUUAAAAGAGAUUUGAUUGAUUAACACUAAUUUUUUUUAGUUUUUUUUAUCUAAAACUAUAAUAUUUUUUUAAAAACAAUACUAUUUUAUUAAAAACUAAAUCAGCAUGUUUUUAGUUUAAUUUUACAAAUUCAUGACCUAAAUUUUGAUCAGGAAACUUCUAAUAAUAUAUAACAAUUAUCACUAGUAAUUGAUAAUAUAAUUGAGGUUGUUUUUUAAAGUAUUUUUUAUUUAUAAUUAUAUCAAAAUAAUAUAUUUUUUAUUUUAAAAUUUAUUUUUGGUAUCAUUAUAUUAAAACAAUAAAAAAAAAUUAAAUAAAAAAAUAUUUUUUUUUAUUUACGUGGGUGUCUGAGUCAGCUUGCGCGUACCUUAACUAAUCCCACGGGCCCUGAAGUUAACAACCAUAUAAGCCUCCAGUAGCCCUGAGAUUUGUGACACUUACCUUUUAAAAAUAAAUUUAAAAUCUAAUCGGUUGAGUUAUAUCUUUUAAAUCUAAAUUAAACUAAGAAGCUAGCUUGGCCAAUGUUAAAUAAAUAAGGAUAAAAUAGACUUUUCAGUACAUUAUAAGAGAUGAAUGAAGAAGAAGACGAGGUCUCAUUAAUGGCAGCCAUUCAAUGCAUUUUGUUCUCUUCAGUUAAAACCAUGCCUUUACCAUUGGGGAGCCAGUGGGAGAAUUAAGUUUCACUCUCACGACAUGCGCGUGCCUUGAACGCACGAUUCUUUGUCUUAUUUUAAAAGAUCUACACGCGUGAAACACACGAGUAGAUAGAUGGUUGAAGGUUAUUAUGAAAGUGGACACAUCUCUGUCAUUAAAGAUUGUAGUCAUGGUACAGAUAUUUCAGGAAUUUCAUCAUUGCCGGCAUGAAUGAUCUAAUUUACUCAUAAGUUCCAGACUUGAUGAGAGUUCUGACCGGUCAAUGAUUUAGUCGUCAUCAUGUUAACCUUUAAAUUAAUCUCGAGAUAAUUUUUUUAAAUAAUUUUUUAAUUUUAUAUUUGUGGAAAAAGAGUAUAUUUUUAAAUUGAUUUUUUUGUUUUUUUUAGUUUUAUAAAAAAAUAAACUGAAAUAUAACUUAUUAAUAUUUUUUAAAUUUAUUAAAAAAAUAAAAACCAUAAUUGACAAAUAAAAAAAUUAAAAGAUGAUAAAAUUAAAAAAAUAUUAUAAUUUUAUAAAUUAUUUAAAAUAAAAUAAAUAACUAUCAAAAGAAUGAAAAUUAAAUAUGAUAGAUAAAAAUAUUUAAUUAAAAAAUAAUAAGAGAAAAAUAAAUAACAAUAAAAAAAUAAGAACCCUAGUUGAUAUAAAAAUUAAACCAAAUCAAAUUUUAAAAGCUAAAAUUUAAAAAUAAAAAAAAUUCAAAACAAAAUAUAUAUAAUAAUAAAAAAAAUUAAAAAUUAAAUUCAAUAUAAUCAAAAAAUAUAACAUGAUAUGUUCUUAAAGUUUUUAAAAUUUCUAAAAGUAUAAUAUAUAUAAAUGAAAAGAAAAAUACUAUUCUAAAAACAAACCAAAUUUUUAGUGUGAAAAGUAUUUUUUUAUCAAUUUUUUAAUAAUAAAUAAGCAUGAAAAAAAAUUAGUAUCCUAUCCCAGAUAGGUUUUAAAAAAAUCACAUCAAAGUUAACCCCGUGAAACAAACUCCGUUUGAUUUUAAUUAUUUUAAUUAACCUAAGUUAAUUUACCAGACUGAAUUCACUCAGUCGAGUUUAAUAACAUUUAUUGAAAUUUGUUUCUUCUUAGUUAGGGAAUCAAUCAUUCUAAGCACACAAUCAUGCAAGUCUUGACUCAAGAGAGAGGCCCAUUGCCUUAAGAGUAAUGAGAGUUGGAUAUAUAAUAAAGGCCCAAAGUGAAGAAGUCCCACUUGAACUGAACCCUAGUCGUAGGCUUUGGAUUCCUUGAAAACCCAUAUGAUUUAGGUGUCAAGAUAAAUGAAAAUUUCUUGCUUUUUUUUCUUCUCUCUCUCUUAUGAAUAUGGAUUCCUUGAAAACCCAUAUUUAUGUUACUAUUGGAAAUUCGAACUCUACGAAAAAAAAAACUAUAAGACCUUUACUCUUAUCACUGCUAUUCACAAAUUAAAUUACUUUCAUGAUUUAUUUUGUAAGAAGAUGGAUUUUAUCCAUUAUUUGGUACCUAUACUUUUUAUUCUUUUUAUUGGAGCCUCUUAUGUUUUUUUAUAAUUGAUUGAGUCCCUCUACUCUUUAUUUUGUUUUGCAAUAGUCCUUCCAUCAUAAAUAAAGACCUAUGUGUCGUUAUAAUCCAACAAUCUGAACUCUUGAGUUGAGUAAUCAUUUCACAAGAAAAAACUUUGCUCAAGGAGUGACUUGUCUCUUAAUGUUAAAAUUAUAUUAUAGUUAUUAAACAUGAUUUAAUGCGUUGAAUUUUUAAUUUAAAAUUUAUUUAAGAUUGGUUUAAUAUUUAAAUAGUUUGAAAAAUUAAUCCGGAUAAAACUAGGUAAGAUUUGGUUAACAAUUUUUUUUUAUAUGUAACAAAGUUAUUUUUUUAUUUUUUUAACCUAAAAAAAUUCUCAAUGAGUAAGCAGCAACAACAAUCAAGCUAAAGACAAAACAUAUUUGUUUCCUAGGCCGACCACACAACUUUGCUUACAAUAUAUUUAUGAUAUGGUCAACUAUGACCGUUUUGUGAGUCAUUGAUCUUUUGCUGUCAGCUUCACUGCCUAGAAGAUCCAUAUUUAACAAUUAUCAACUGAUCAUAGAGGAAGCCUAUAUCCAAACCAAUCGCACACCCUUUCGUCCUCCAAGUUCCUUCUAUUUUUCCUAUGUACACAAUUAACAUAUCCUCAAUUACCCAUUUGAUUUAAGUUUUUUUUAAUAAAUUAAUUAUGUGAAUAAAAUUUAUAAGAGACGUAGAGGAGGGCAUGAAUAGCACUAGCUAGAAGUAGGGGGUGAUCAUUUUCGGUUCGGUUUGGUUUUUACCUAUAAAAAACAACCAAACCGGGUUUUUUAAAAAAAAAAACCGAAACCGAACCGAAACCGAGUCAAACCAACCAGUUUCGGUCCGGUUUGGUUCUUGAUUUCAAAAAACCAAAAAAACCUAUACGCUCAUAUUUCUUCUCGAACUUGCCUAUAGCCUUUUCACAAAUAUUGUUUUCCCUGCAUUGUGCAAACUGCAAACAACAAAAGCCAAAAAUCCACACCACUUAUUUCAAUUAAAAAAUAAAAAUAAAAUCAACAUUCUAAAUCCAAAACUCUGCUAUAAAUCAAAACCCUAAAUUUCUUGCAAAAUAAUAAAUCUUAUCUUUCCUGCAUUUUAAAGAAUACCCAGAAGCAAAUGGAAGCAAUGGUCUUCCUUUUCAUUCUCGACAAGUUCAACAGUUCCCUUCCAUCUACUCCUUGUCAACUUCCCAUAAUAAUUCUUAGCUGCAACAGUUAAAUAGUUUUCCUCAACUACAAAGAUCAACAUCCUCUCGCACCUAAGCCUAGCAAGAUCCUCUACACCCGGAUUCAUCCUAGGAUCAAGAGCGCGAGAGGGGGCUGCUUCUAAGUCUAGAGGAAGGGAGAGGGAGAGAAAGAGGGAGAGGAAGAGAAAGAGGCGAGAGGGGCUGCUGGUGGCUAGGGUUACUGGGGGGUGGGGGGAUAAAUUUUUCUAUUUAUAGUCUUUUUUUGAACCGAUUCGGUUCGGUCCGGGUUAACCGGUUCUUGCAUUACAAAACCGAAAACCGAACCGAACCGGGAUUUUUUCUAACUAUUCUAAUCGGUUUAAUCGGUUUUUUUUUCUCAGUUCGGUUUUAUCGGUUUAUUCGAUUUUCCGGUUUUUUUGCACACCCCUAGCUAGAAGUCAGUGUAUCAAUGUUAAUGCUCCUCAAAAAGUCAAUGUUGGUGAAGUUGCCAGAAAAAAUAAAUAAUAAUAAUAAAAAAUAAUUGAGGAGCUACUAGCUAAAAAGCCAAACGAAAUUACAGAAGAAGAGUAGCUAGUAUGCGGUGUCGCGAUGGUCGUUUACUCUUGUAUGUAUUUGAAAAAUAGGUAAGAUAAGAAAUUUUUUUUUUUUAUCAGUGGAAAGAAAGAAUGAUAGUCGUCACUUAAUAUUUUGGUUACUAGAAACCCUAACUGGUCUUAGAGAUCGGGCAUGGGAACUGGUUGCAUAAAGGCAAUGCAUUAGCACCCUAAAUACGUCAUAUCUAAGGUAAGAUGCAUUGUUUAAUUGCCUGAUAUAAACUAAGGUAUUGUCAUGUUUUCUAAUGAUUGGUACGUCUAAGGUUUUAAAAAAGUAAUUCUCGGUAAGGCGAUUCCUAUCUUAUCUGGUAAAAUCUAACCGUUUUAAUAUCGAUAAAAAGAAAAACUAACUCUUAUUUAAUAUUAGAAAUACAUCUUACGUAUAAGUUUGUAAUCUUAGAUAUUAAAAAAAAAGAAAAUAAUUUUUUUUGUAUUUUUAAAAUAUUGGCCUAGUUCUCAUGGCUUUAAUAAACUGGCUAUUAAAGCUCAAAAUGCAUGCUAAUACAUAUUUUUUGAAUUUUGAAAUUCUUAGUUUUCUCCAAAAUGUUGCAAAAAAAUAUAUAUGGAAAAAAAAAUAUCUUGUUUUCAUGCAUACGACUAAAAAAUAUAAGAAAUUUCAUAUCAUAUUUUCAUACCAAAACAAAUACCGAAUUUGUAUUUUUACAAUAUAAAAAUACAAACUAAUAUUAAUCAAAAUUGGUAAAAAAAUACACGAGAAAGCCAUAAAUUGUUUUUGAAAAGAUUUUGAAAUUUUUCAGAAUUUUGUCUCCUCUUUUUAAUAUAUAAUAUUAUAUUAUAUAUUAUUAUAAAUAUAUAAUAAAAAAACAUUGGGAUGGGCUGGCCCAAAUAUAUGGGUUGAGCCCAUCCUUGUUAGGUUGAAAUUGGCCUAGAAGAAAUUGGAUCAAGGUCGGCCCAAAACAUCGGCCCAAGACAGGGGGCGGGUGGCCCAAAGGUGUUAGGCCCACAUCAGCCUGGAAGAGUGUUGGGCCUGUGUCACCAGAUGAGAUUUCAAGUUAAUCAAGCUACACACAGAAUUUUGGUUCUGGUUAAAGGAGGUCGCCAGAUAGGAUCUCAGGUUAAUCCAACCAUACAUGAAAUUUAGCUUUAGUUAAAGGGAGUCGUCAGAUGAGAUUUCAAGUUGACCGAGCUGCACUCAGAAUUUUGGUUCUGGUUAAAGGAGAUCACCAGAUGGGAUCUCAGGUUGAUCGAGCUACCAACAUCAUCUUAACAUUGGAAGAAAAGUGAGAAGAACCCUACCAUUAGGAAAUUCUCAAAAAAAAAAAAAAAGAGAAGAGAAAGUUCAAACCCUGCCAUAAGGAAGAACAUUUUUUCUAGGUUCUGGUUAUAGAGAAUCGUCAGAUGAGAUUUCAGGUUAACCCAAUCAAAGACAGAAUUUAGAGGAUCGCCAGAUCGAGAUCUCAGAAUGACCAAGUUAUACACAGUUUUGAUUGUUAGUUCAUGGUUGAAGAGAUUUGCUGCAAAGAUAGAGCUUUAGAUCAACCAAGCUUUGAGAAAAUCAGUUUUAAAAGUUCAGUUUAAUUUAUUUUUACAAAACUUACUACAUAAAGUCUUUGCUUUGUAAGCAUUGUAAAGAGGGGGCAACUAUUAUAAUUCAUUUUUUGUUAUUCCCCAAAUUCAUUUCUUUUUUCACAAAAAAAAAAGAGACAGAAUCAUAGAACGGUGUCGUUUUGAAUGACACUAUUCUUCUUCCCUUGGACGUGCAGCAGGGGAAGGACAAGCUGUUUUUUAAAAUCUUCUUUUCAUGCUUUUCUCUCUCUUUCUCUCCCUCCCUAAUUGCAAGAAAACUGACAUAGCCCACGCUGCAUGGCCUACCACCAUCAUGGAAGGGGCAGGGGAGCCAUGCCCUGUGGGCUGCUCUGGGGUGAUUGCAUAAAGGCCGCCCCAACCACUCUACCCUGUCCCCAAGACAGGACAGGGCAGGGUGGCUCCCUCUCCUUCUACUUAUAAAUACCAGACAAAAAAGAUUAAACAGAAGGGGAUUUUUGGAAAGGAGGACGGAUGAAGAAAGAGCCUUAUUCACCAAAAGAACCACCGCAACGUCACCGUCUGUAGUCCGCAACAUCGCCACCUCGAGCCAUCAUCAACAACACGUCAGAAAUGAAACAGAGAAGUGGGAGAAUAGAAGCAGGGAGAAGAAGAAAUACAAAAAACACAGAGAAAGGAAGAAGAACCAUUGGCCGAGCUGCUCCCCAGUUCGCAACCGCAACGCCACCACUAGCGAACGUCACCAUGAGCCACCAUAGGUCAGCUUCCUGCUCUUCUUCUUCUUCAGUUUCAUUACCCCGUCUCUACUGAUCGACAAAGUGAACAAUGGAGAGAUCCUCCACUGUUUACUGGGCUAGAAAGCGCUGGCCCAGACCAAAAUGGUUGGGCUAAGUGCGGCCCAGUCCAAAACAAAUUUUUGAAAAAAAAUUUUAAAAAAAAUCUUUUCAAAAUUUGUGAUUUUUCUCGCGUAUUUUUUGUCAAUUUUUCUUAAUAUUGGUUUGUAUUUUUAUAUCGUAAAGUUACAAAUCCGGUAUUAAAAUACCUGGUUUUCGUUGAAAUGUUGCUAGAAGAUAUAUAAAAACAAUGUCUUGUUUUGAUGUAUACAGGAUGUUGUAACCUAUUUUUAGGUCCCGCACAAAGAAAGGAAGAAAAAAAAAUAUAGUUGGAAGAAAUCCAAAAAAAUAAUAGCAGUAAGAAAUGGAUACCGGAGUGCCCGGAAAAUGAUUAGAAUUUGGUUGAGGAGGUUCAAAAAUACAAAGAUUAAAAUUUGACAGUAUAUAUUUGACUGAUGAGAGCCUUAUACGAAAAAAAUACAAUUUGAGGAUGAAAUGUCCAAAAUCAGAUGUUUUUGGACUUGAUUAAAUUUUAUUGAAGGUUUAAUUUAAUUUAUGAAGGGUUUAAUGGCAAGAAAAUUGAUUUUUAAGUCAAAUUAGGCUUUAAUUGGAAGAAAUUAAAGUUCUGGAGUCCAAUUAUAAUUUUUAAGAGUUGAUUGGAUCAGAUUCGGGGCUUAAUUGCAUAAAUAUUUAAGUUUGAUGGCUAAUUAGGUACUUGAUUGAAGAUAUCCGAAACCAAGGACCCAAAUGGAAAAGGCGCAUAAAUUGAAGGACUUAUUUGAAAAUUAACAUUUUGGCACCCUUUUCUUUUAAACAAAAUGGCGUGUUUUGAUCAAAACGACGCCGUUACAUGUAUUGUUAAAACAAAGGUCAAAACAAUGUCGUUUUGAAUGACAAUGUGGGUCUUCUUCUUCCCCUAGACACGUAGAGGCAGGGGAAGAAGAAGUUUCUCUCCCCUGUAACGCUAGUCCCUCUCUCUCCACCCCACUUGUCCAAGAAACCCGGCACAACUCAUGCCCACACAUACCUUGCCACCACACCAUAAUAAUGAAGAAAGCUAGGGGAGCCAUGCCUUGCGAGCAGCUCCCCAGCCCACCUUACCUUGCGUCAUGGCAGGGGUAAGGUGGCCCUCUCCUCCUCUGCUUAUAAAUACCAGAGGGGGGCACCAUAGAAAGGAGGAAGGAGGCGUAUCUUGAGAGUUGAAAAACAGAGGGAUUUUUUUGGAGAGAAGAGAUAAAUCAAAAUAGAGGGGAAAAAAAGGAAAGAAACAGGGGAGAAAACAAAAGAGGGUCAUGUGUUUUUAGUAGUUGAAAACAUAGACGAACAGAGGACUAGGAUUUGAGAGAAACAGAGAAGAGAGGGUAGACUUAAGAGAAACAGAAACAAAAAGAACGAGAAAAGAAAAACAGAAACAGAGAGGAGAAGCACAAAAGAAAAAUACACAGAGAAGAAAAAGAAGGACUGACAACCUGCCAAGCAAUUCUCUGGAUAGCAACCGCCAACAGAACCACCGCCUGUUGCCAUCCAACAUCACCGUGAGCAAUCACUGGAGACAGCUACCAUGAUCCUUCAUUCCAGAUAAUCUUUUUCCCUUUCUCUGUUCUCCCUCAUUUGCAUGCAGAACGUGAGCAAUUCACGUUCUGCAACAAAUGAAAUAUAAUUUGCUAGUUAUUGUGUUGUGCAUAGUAACCAGCUAAGUAUAAUUAACUGGUUACUGUGCUCAGAAUAGUAACCAGCCAUUUGUUUCCUUGGGCUGGACAUUCCAGCCCACAUGGCUGGGCUGAGUCCAGCCUUGUAGAAAAUAGGUUCUCAUUUUGGGCUGGUUCUGGCCCGAUUUCAUUUUUGGGUCGAUCUUGGCCUAGUUUCCUUUUGGGCCGGGUCUAGCCCAUCCCAAUCCUAAAGAUUUAGAAAAAUUAUUUUGAAAAAUUUGAGAUUUCCCCAUGUAUUUUUUUUUAUCAAUUUCACUUAAUACUGGAUUGUAUUUUUAUACCGUAAAAAUACAAAUCUUGUAUUAAAAUACCAGGUUCUCAAAUAAAAAAAAUCAUAAAACAAAAAAAUUAUAUCUUGCUUUUUUGCAUACGGCCAAGUAUCUCGAAAAAAAAUCAUAUUUUCAUUCAACAAAAAUUCAAAAAAUAUAUGUUAGCAUGCAUUUUGGCUUUAAUAAUCAGUUUAUUAAAGCCACGAGAACUAGGCCAAUAUUUUAAAAAUAUCAAAAAAAAUAUUUUAUUUUCUUUUAGUAUCUGGGAUUACGAAUUUAUACGUAAAACGUAUUCUCAAUAUUAAAAAGGUAGUUCUUCUUUAUUGAUGUUAGAACGGUUAGGUUUUUACCCGAUAAGAUGAGGAUCUCCUUACUAAGGAGGACUUUUCUUAAACCAUAGAUGGACCGACAAUUAGGAAUACAAUAACACCUUAACAUAAAUCAGACAAUUAAACAGUGCAGCUUACCUUAGGUAAGGCGUAUUUGGGGUGCUAAUACCUUAUCUUUACGCAACCAAUUUCCGUACCUAAUCUCUGAGACCAGUUAGAGUUUCUAGUGACCAAAAUACUAGGUGGCAACUCCCAUUCCAUUUGCCACUGAUAAAAGACAAGGAUUCCUUGUCUGCCCAUACCCAUAGAUAUGAGAUAGAGAUACACAUAUUCAAGAUAUUAAAAUGGCAGGAUUUACCCGAUAAGGUAAUGAUCUCCUUACCGAGGAGGACUUUUCUUAAACCUUAGACAGAUCAACAAUCAGAAAACAAGAUGAUACCUUAGAUUUUAUCAAACAAUCAAACAAUAUAGCUUACCUUAGGUAGGGUGUAUUUGGAGUGCUAAUACCUUUCCUUUACGCAACCAGUUCUCGUACCCGAUCUUUGAGACCAAUUAGGGUUUCUAGUGACCAAAAUACUAGGUGAUGACUCUCAUUCCCGCUUUUAACGGAUAAAAGACAAGAAUUCCUUGUCUCCCUUAUUUUCCCGAUUACCCAAACCAACGGAGUGGAUGUUAUUCAUCGCGACGCAGCACACAUGCGACACCUCUUUUUUGUCCGUCCUCCUCCUAUGUUCCUCUUUCUAUUUCUAUGUUUUUCUUCAUCCUUUCCUCUCUAAUCCUUUCAAAACUAUCGUCCCUCCCUCACCGCCUAAUGAGGGGUAUUUAUAAGGGCAGAGGGAGCGGGAGCUACCCGGCCUUUGUCCACUCAUAGUGAUAGGGUAGGGUGGCGUUCUUUCCUUGUUAAAACCCCUAUAUUUAUCGAAGGCCUCUUGCUCUAUUAUUUUCUGUUAUGAUCUUUCAUGAUCCAUACUUCUAUGAAAUUACUUUCCCUAUCAAUGUAGGUCAUGACAAGCUUUCCUUUGUAUUUAAUAAGUCCAAUAUCUUUGUUAUCAGAAACUGGUAGAGAAAGUGAAAACAAACAAUGACUCUCCCUUUUCACAUCAAAGGCAAAGACAUUUCUCUUUCAAAUUAGCCAUUCGUAAAUACUUUUGUCAUGUGAUGAAGGGAUUCUUUUUGCGGCAACUUUACUUUAUCCAACAACUUCCAUUUCCAAGUUGCUAAUUCAAACAACUCAACUCUAAUGCAGUGGUACAUAUAGAAUUCUUUAUGUGAGCGAAGCUUGAAUUUUGAGAAUCUCACAAUCUUGUAUCAUAAAGGCUUUGACCUUUCAAUCAUUAGGCCAGAUUCUAUAAUAUCAUAUUGUCUUUGGAUUCGGUAUCUUUUGCCAUUGUUUGAUAGAAGGGUUGCACAUAUAAUCACAUAGUCCAUUGUAUACGUGGCAAAUUAAAAUUCAUUGAUUCGUCGAUGACAUCAUCUCUAUGUGGUCGGGAAGAAAAUCAAAUGAUAUUUUAGGAUGAGGCUUUAAAACAUCAGUCUAAACAAAAGAAACAUGAUAUCCAUUCUUAAUCAUACUUUGGAUAAGGAAAAUAGAGACAAUGUUAGUUCUUUGGCCGUGUAGCUUUAUAAAAGUAGAAUCAUAGGUUAACUUAUUGUAUUCCUUAAAAAGAAGCCUAUAUUUCCGCAUAGAUUUGUUUGAUAAACACGUCAGAACUUCAUAGAUGGCAUCCCGACAUAGGUCACAAGUUGAGUCCAUGGUGGAGUAGAGACUCUUAUUACCGCAAGCUAUGUUUCUCGAUUGGAAGUUUGAGUGAAUCCUUCUCAACACUGUCAGAUGUCGGCAACUCUUAACUCUGAAGAGAAAAAAAGAAUUGGGGGACCUUUAUUCCAAACUGCGAGCAUGCAUAUAUAAAUGUAUAAGCAUGUUUUAUAUGAUGAACUCAUCCUUCAAGGGGUGACACAUGGUCGUAACUCUUGUAUGAUGAGACAAGAAUUUUGAUUCUUGCUCAAACUUUACAACAAAAAUUUCCUGAGUGACGAUCAUUGUGUCACCCGUAAGUCCUAAGUUUAAGAUGCUUCAAGAAGGGCUUACUUCGAUGCAAAAUAAAGGUAGAACAUACAACCUAAGGUCACGUUCUAUUCUUUAUGUGAGACAAAGGGUAGGAUUACUAUCUAGUCUCAAAAGGGUCUUAUAUCUACCCAGUAACGAUCUUUGUAAAGAUAGUUUGGGGGCAUUGCAAGAAAUGGUUAAAGCACGUAUACCCACCAUUACCAAGCAGACACUCAGAUAUGUGUGCUUGAAAAAUUUAAAACAUGUUAUGCAUGAGGCAAUUUUAUAUAAUUUAUGAAACAAUAUGUACAGAAUUUAAAGCGUAUCGGCAAAUAACAAAAGGAAAUGCAUAUUAACAAUAAACACACAAAACCAAAUAAUGAAACAUAAAAAUCAGACAAAAAAAAAAAAAAAGCUUAGUCCACAAGGGUCCUAGUGGAGUCGCCAUUCUAUCGUAGGUAUGCGGUGUCGCGGCGGUUGUCCACUCUAGUAUGUAUCUGGAAAAUGGGUGAGACAAAUAAUUCUUAUCUUUUAUUAAUGGAAAGAGGGAUGAGAGUCACUACCUAAUAUUUUGGUCAUUGAGAACCCUAACUGGUCUCAUAGAUCGGGCACUAAGACUGGUUGCGUAAAGAGAAGGUAUUGGCACCCUAAAUAUGCCCUACCUAAGGUAAGCUGCAUUGUUUAAUUGUCUGAUAUAAACUAAGAUAUUAUUAUGUUUUCUAAUGAUUGAUCUGUUUAAGGUUUAAGAAAAGUCUUUCUCGGUAAGGAGAUCAUUACCUUAUCGGGUACAACCUAAUCGUUCUAAUGUUGAUAAAAAAGAACGAACUCUUAUUUAAUAUUAGAAAUACAUCAUACAUAUAAGUUCGUAAUCCCAGAUAUUAAAAGAAAACAAAAUAACUCUUUUGGUAUUUUUGAAAUAUUGGCCUAGUUCUCAUGACUUUAAUAAACUGUUAACUUCUCAUCUUGGUCUUUUGUUAUCGUUAACAACUCUUUUUAAUGUUUAAUUAUGCCUUUAAUGCUUCAUAUGUUUUAUUAAAUAUAUGUGAACAUUUUUUACUCAUUGUCAAUAAUCCAAUUUUUACCCCCUUUAAAAACACUUAAAUUGAAAACAUUUUGUAGACAAAACUACACAUAUUUUUUUAAAAAAGAAACAAUUGUUGAAAAAUAUAAAAAAUUCAAAAAAUCACAAAAAAUACAAACUAUGAUUUGGGAUGAAAUCAAGCAAAUAAUGAAAUUUUAAAAAGCAAGAUGUGGUCUAAAAUAGUUACAAUUAGGCCAACUAUAAUUUUGAGGUCUAAUUAGGAGUUUGAUUAAAAACAAAAUUGAAGAAAAAUGUUGAAUUUGGCCAAAUUUGCUUAAGAGAGAGGUUGGAGAGAGAAAUCAUGUUUAAGAGAAAGAAUUGAGAUUUGUAAGAAAAUUAUGUAGACAUACAUUUAUUAUAUACUAGGGAAAAAAUAUCUUUUCUUCUAAUUUGAUUUUUCAUGUUGAUCACGGAGGCUGACACGAUCAAAAGAUUGAUGUCUUAUCCCAAGUGCAGAAGUCUCGAAGUAAUAAAUAACCCGGCAAGACCGGGGUCGAACCACAGGGAGGUGAACUAUAUAAAAUCAUAAACAAUAAAUGAAAAGGAGUUGAAGAGAACUUUUGAGAUGUGAUAUUGAUGUAAGGAUUAAACAAUGAUAAAACAAUUGUCAAUGUUAGAAGAUCCACUAGUGGUAUUUCAAAUAAGUAUAAUAUAAACUCAUUUUAUUACUCAACUGGAAACCACACACAAAGGAGGUUCUAAUCAGAUUAUAAAUUAUUAACAUGAUUAUAUUAAUUAUGUUAUUUGAGUAAUGCCAAUACUUGUAAAUGUGGUCAAAUAUUCAUGGUGAUAACUUAUGUUAACAACAAAUCAAGUUCCUUUCAUAGCACAAGUGGCGGUUAUACCAUACAGUAGGCUAAGAAAGUGCCAAGUAUUUGUUGUACCAAGGGUUGUUCAACACAAAUCUAGAUUAAUCAUUUAACAAGUAAGGUAUUAAGAGUGAGUAAGAUAACAAAUAUAAAACAUCUAAGUAUCAAACAUUAAAGUCCAUGUUGAGUUUAUAUUAUAUUUAUUCUUAUACCAUUAGUGUACCCUUUUUACCUUGACAAAAUUAACUUAGCUAAAAAUAAUGAAGAAGAAAAACAUAAAUAAACAAAAUAAUGAUAUACAUUAACUAAGUAAAGGAAAUGAAAUGAAAAGCAUAAACAAGAGACUAAUAUAACAUAAAAUAAAACUUGAACAUUAAAAUACAAAGAGAAAGAGUGAUCUUGAUUUGAACACCAAGAUGUCUAAAUGUAUGGCAAAUUCCUCCUUUUAUAUGCUAAAAUUCAGAACUAUUAAUUUGAUGACUAAUUAUUGAGUGGGUGUCCACCUAUUGACUGGGUGACAACCAUUAUCUUCUUGUCUGAACAAAACGUCAUUGCUAACAUUAGAAUUUUAACAGAUAGUCCUCAUGAAAGCUUUGGGCAUUUGUCUCAGCUUUCCAACCAAACAAGAAUCAGCUCAUUUGAACUUCUAGAACUCAAGAUAUGGGCUGAACACUGAACAGUGUUUGGGCUGCAGGACAGAUUCCGACUUCUCUUUUGUUGCUACAAUUUGAACUUGAAAACGGCCAUUUUGAAUCUUGGACUCUCAUGAAAGUUUUAGGCCUAUGUUUUAGCUUUCCAUCUAUAUAAACCAAACCUAAAUCCAUGUUCUACAGCUCUAGUUAUGAUCCAAUAACCGAAUGAUAUUCUAGUUUAAAUUGAACCAGCAUCUCUUCUUUAAACUUAGCUCUCUCUUUGUCUUCUCAAUUUCAAUAAUUAAACACAUCAAUCAAUUCUUUAAAUUGUGAGAUAGGCCUGCAUUCAAAAUAAAUAUUUACCAUAAAUUAUAUCUUAUGUUAUUAGACUUGUUAUUAUAAAAUAUGCUCAAGUUAGAGAAUUUAAUGAUGAUAUAAAACCUUAAUGAAAAUGCACUUUUGAGUACUAAUCAGAAGCAAACUGUAAUUUCUCAAACCUUAGAUUGAAAAACAAAAACCAGACCAAAAAAAUAGGAGAUUUUUUUAUAAUUACCCCUAAAAUUUAUUAAGGAAAGAAAAAAAAUCAACAAUAGAGUACCAAAGUAUAAAAUAAGAACAAAUCCAAUGAUCAAUCUUAAAUUUGUUAGAAAAAGUUAUGUUUAGUUCACUUAUUUUUUUUUUACUUUACAGUUCCUUUAGUUUUUGUAAUUUUAAUUUUAGUUUAAAAGUUCAUUUUCUUAACAUUUUUAGUCCUUGAGUUUAAGAAAUAAAAGAGAAAGUCAUUUGAAAACAAUGAAAGAGAGAUAAAGUAAUGAGCAUAUUUAAGAGACUAAACUCAUCGUUUUUGGUAUCAACAAGUUUCAUUAUACGAGAGAAGUUUGAUGAUGAUGAUUUCUUCCUAUAAACAUGCAUGAAAAGUAGAUUGAGUUCCAUUUAGAUUUUCUUAUUUGGUUGAUUUUUAUUUUUUGAAUGAUUUUGGGAUUUUGUUUUUGACUCUCAUGAAAGGUAUGCUAUCUUUCACUAAUGAAAUUCUUUUUAUUAUUGGUUUUGAGAAGGGAAAAAAAGUGUUUCUCUCUUUGUUUUAUGGAAAAAGCACAUAAAUAUAUGAACUAGAUAUAUAUAAAAAAAAGAGGAUAGAUAUUCCCAUUACUUAAUAAUCGAGGAAAUGAGUGUGUAAAAUUAAGGUAAUAAAACUGAAACCAUCAGCUUCAUUAGAUAAAGCUAUUGUGUAAAUAAGUGUGACUUUUACUCAUGACAUACAUAGAUAAAAAUAAUUAAAUAAGUGUUCGAAUAUGUGAUAAAACAAUUUUGAAUGUUUAAUUUUAUUUUUUAAACAAGUGUUUAAUUUUUAUUUUGUACAAUUAAGUAUUUAAGUAAAUGUAUAUUAAUUCAAUAUUAAUGUGACCAUUAAAUAGUGACAAGAACAAUAACACUUGAGAUAAUAUUUAAAGUUAACAUCAUUUAUAAUUUCAUAACUCAUUUCUAGGUUAUUCCUUAAAUUUAUUUCUUUUUUUUAAAAUAAAAAUAAAAUAAUAAAAUAAAAGUUGGCGAUAUGAGGAAAGCGGAUCGAGGAAGAUUUCAAAAAUACAUAGAAAUCAAGCUGUCAUUUUGGAGGAAAUUCGAGGCCUAAAUGUACCUUAUUAUACCCCAAAAUUGAGAAAUAAUACAAAAUCAAGGUCAAAUUAAAUGGUUAUUUGAUGAAUUUGCAUAAAAAUUAAGUCUAGGGAUAUAAUUAAAUUUUUAAUAGGCCAAUUUGAUUUAAUCAUGAGCCAAAUUGAAGUUUAAUUAUGUUAAAGAAUUAAUUUUGGUCCGAUUAAAGGAUUUAAUUAAGUGCAAGGACUUAAUUAUAUUUUAAAAAGGUAAAAUUAAUUUUAUUAGAAGCUUAAUUGGUGGAACAUGAAGUUUGAGAACCUAAUUUAGGCUUAAUUGAGAGAAUUGAAAUUUUAGGAGACCAAAUUUAUUUCUUACCAAGUUAAUUGAUUGGAAUCAAAGGUAAAAUCGCAAGAAAAUUAAAGUUUUGGGGUUAAUUAGGGGUCAAAUUGAAAACUUUCAUAGUCAAGGACCAUUUUGUAAAAGGCUCCGAACUAUAGGGGCUUAAUUGAUAAACACCGAAGGUGAAAUUGAAGAAAAUUAAAAGUUUAACGGUCAAUUGAGAGUCAAAUUGCAUAAAUUCGAGACCAAUGACCAAAUUGAAAAAGAUGCGUAAAUUAGGGGUUAAAAUUGUAAUUUGAUAUGGGCUAAAUUGCACUAAAUAAAAAAUAUAGGGUCAAUUAGGAGUGUAAUUAAACUAAAUCAAAAGAUGAAGGACUAAUUUGAACUUAAAAUAAAAUAACAUCGCCUGAUUCACUGUUUAUUGAAUUGGUUAAAUUUAAUCGACUUGAUUCAAUUUAGAUGAAACUAGAUCGAUUAACUUUAAUUUUAUUUUUUUAAUUUUUUUUAUCCAAAACUAUAUAUAUAUUUUUUAAAUAAUAUUAUUUUAUUAAAAACUAAAACGAUAUUAUUUUAAGUUUAAUUUUAUAAAUUCAUAUUUAAUAGGAUAUAAUAAGUAUGACUAAUAAUUGAUAAUAUGAUUGAGGUUAUUUUUAAAAUGUUUUACCAUUAGAAUUAUAUUAAAAUAAUAUAUUUUUUUAAAAAAAUAUUUUUAAUAUCAUCAUAUUAAAAUAAAAAAUAUGUAUAUAUAAAAUAAUUUUAAAUCAAAAAAUAAUUUUUCACAUACUAGAUGGUGUCUAAAUUAGCCUAAAAAGCAAGCUUGGCUGGAAAUGUUAAAUAAUAACAGAUAAAAUAGACUUUUCAGUACAUUAUAUCAGUAAUUUAUUGGCUGGUUGUGAUAGCUCACAAGGUAUUUGGUGAAGAGAGAGAUGAAUGAAGAAGAUGCAAAGGUCUCAUUAAUGGCAGCCAUUCAUUGCAUUUUGCUCUCCUAAGUUGAAACCAUGCCUUUAUCAUUGAGGAGCCAGUGGGAGGAUUAAGUUUCACUUUCAAUACAUGCUCGUGCUUCGAACGCACAAUUCUUUAUCUUAUUUUAAAAGAUCUACACGCGUGAAACACGAUUUAUUCUUUCAACGAUUUUAAAAAAUAAGAACUAUAACUUAUAAGUAAAAAAAUUUAAAAGAUGAUAAAAUUAAAAUAAAAUUUUAAUUUUAUAAAUUAUUUUAAAUAAAAUAAGUAACAAUAAAAAAAUAGAAAUAAAAUUUAAAUAGAUAAAAAAAAUUUAAUUAAAAAACAAUAAAAAAAACAAAUAACAAUUAAUAGAAUAAGAACUAAAGUGAUAUAACAAAUAAAAAUUAAUAGAAUAAGAACUAAAGUGAUAUAAAAAUAAAAUUGAAUCAAAUUGUAAAGGAUAAAAUUGAAAUAAUAAUAAAAAAAAUUCAUAAUAAAAUAUAUAGUAAUAAAAAAUUUAAUAACUAGAUUACAAGUGAAAAAUUUAAAAGAUGAUAAAAUUAAAACAAAAUUCUAAUUUUAUAAAUUAUCUCAAAUAAAAUAAAUAACAAUGAAAAAAUAAAAAUCAAAUUUAAAUAGAUAAAAAAAAUUAAUUAAAAAACAAAUAACAAUUAAUAGAAUAAGAACUAAAGUGAUAUAAAAAUAAAAUUGAAUCAAAUUGUAAAGGAUAAAAUUGAAAUAAUAAUAAUAAUAAAAAUUCAUAAUAAAAUAUAUAGUAAUAAAAAAUUUAAUAACUAGAUUUGAUAUAAUUAACAAAUAACAUUAUAUUUUUGAAUUGUUUCAACUUUUAAAAAGUGUAAUACAAAAUAAAUAAAAAAUACCUUUUUGGAAAACAACCAAAUUUUUCCACAAAGUAAAAACUGUUUUUCUUUUAUCAAUUUUUUAAUAAUAAAUAAAUAUUAAAAAAUAUAAAAAUUAUUUUUCAUGAACCACAAAAAUAGUCAAAAUCAAAUCUUUAUAUGAGUUUUACAGAUGAGUUAACCAGAUAAGUUACUCCCGGUUUGACUAUAUCAAUGUUUUGAAAGCAAACUCAAGUUUUUGUUUUUUUUUUUAAUGUAACAUUCUACAUGUGAAUGAUUUAGUUGUAAAAACUUAAAACUUUUAUAAAGAUUAAAGAAUAUAAAAAAAAAAAAAAACACAAGCGGUGAGUAGUUUUUGGAGAACAGGAAGAGGCUGCAAAUCAAUGCAAUGCCCACUCCACUCAUUAUUAAAAUCCUUUUCAUUUUAAUUUACCUAAGUUAAUUUACCUGAAUCAUGAUUCACAUCUUGUACUGAGUUGACUCAGUCGAGUUUCAUAGAAUUUGUUUCCUCUUAGUUAGGGAAUCAAUCAUCCUGAGCACACAAUUCUGCAAGUCUUUGACUCAGGAGAGAGGCCCAUUGCCUUAAGAGCAAUGAAAUUUGGAAAUAUAAUAAAGGCCCAAAGUGAAGAUAUAUCGUCAAGUCCAUUAAAAAUGAUGUAGACAUCACGACAAUGACCUUCAACCUUGUCCGUUGUCCAUUAAAAAUGAGGAAAAUGGAUCAAUCGAUCGAUCUUAAAUUACUGACGCUAAAAUUGUAAGAGUAAACUUUAAACUAAGUAAAAAAGAUUGGUAGAAAUCUCUCUCUCUCCCCCCCUCUCUCGUGCACACGCACACAGAGGAGGAGAUAAGGUCAGAAUUAGAACAUGCACACACAGAGGAGGAGAUAAGGUCAGAAUUAGAAAAUUUGAAGUCCUUUUCCUUCCUUCACCCAAAGGAAAGGUUGCUGGCCUUGGUUUUUGUGUUGUUGAAAUGUUAUAAUCUAUAGCCUCAUCCUAAGAGAUAGAUGUUUAUUACACUAUUGACUUAGUAUUCUCAUAUUUCUAAUUUGUUAUGAGUGUUUCUUUCAGAAAUGGCUUUGAACAGCCAUAUUGACCUUUUCUUAUAUUAAAAAAAAAAAAACUAAGUUAGUUGGUGGUAGGUAAGUUUCAUUAAUGUCCAAUGUUAGAAGAACAUAAACCUACUACCCGUGCAGUGAGUCCAAUUGAUAUGCACUUGUAAUUAAGAAUAUACUUAGAGUAUACACGGGACCAACCUACAUCUGAUAUUUAAUAAUACUGAAGAUAGGUAGGCAGAAGAUAGGUAUUUUACUAUUGAAACAAUGGUGUUCCGACGAAAAUAAAGCUAAAAAAAAUCUAAAAAAGAAUAGCGCAACCGGUUUAUGAUUAUCCAUUAGAAUUUAAUCAAAAUAUCAAAAAAAAAAUUUCAAUUUUUUUUAGGGUCCAGAUGUAGAUUUUAAUAUCUGUCGGGUGUAAAAUUAUACGAUAAAGUAUAUCCUCGGGUGUUAAAGAUACAAGGCAAAAAAUAAAUGCGAUGCUAAUUUUUUGGCUUUAGAAUGAUUAUGAUUUAAUCCGAUAAGGUAGAGAUUCUCUCAUGAAAAGAAAUCUGUCUUGAACCUUAAACAUAACCAAUGAAUAGAAACCCGACCUAGAAACAAUCAAACAACAAUACAGUUUAUCUUAGGUAGGGUGCACUGGAAAUGAUGUGUCUUUUCCUUGCACAACCAAUCCCACACUCAGACUCUCGCAGACCAUAGAUUCCUAGUAACUAUUAUAUUAGGUGGCGACUUCUGAACAUUAAACAUAAUUUUAAACUUCAAUCAUUCUAAAAGAUUGGUUAAAAAACAAUUUGAAAUUUCAAUUUUUUUUAAGAUUGUAACCUUUUUUCAUAUUAUUUUAACAAGUGCUAUUUCUUUACAACCCAUCAUGGUGUUUUGUGCUUUUUUUACAUAUAAAAAGUUUAUUUAAUUGAUAAAAUAUUUUUGUUUGUUGUUUGAUUAAAUACCAUUUGAUUUUUAUUUUUUAUAACAUUUAAAGGCACUUUUUUUUUUACAAACCUCCACUGUGGUUUUCUUUACUUGAACUUUAUUAGGUAGCUUUCCUUUGCAUGUUAGCUUUUAUUAUCUUAUGGUUAGAAAAAAAAUCCAAAAAAACAAGUUAUUGAAUCCAUCCGUGCCCAUUGCUGAUUUUACAAGUUUGGUGACUUAACUCGAGAUGAUCCAAGUCAAAUAAAAUAUUGUCAUCUUAGUGUAUAAAAAGAAAACUUAAAAAGAAAUUAACUUGAUUUUUUUUUUUAAUAUCAAAUUAGAUUUUAACUAGGUCAUAUUGGGUAGGCUCCUAUCCAAUUCAAUUUGAAAUCCAAUACAUGUAAGGGCUCGGUUUGGGAGGUCUCUUAACUUCUCAACUUGAUCUUUUUAUUAGCGUUAAUAACUCUUUUAAAUGUUUAAUUAUAUCUUUAAUACUCCAUAUAUUUUAUUAAAUAGACGUGAUACAUUUUUGACUUAUUGUUAAUAACCUAAUUUUUACCUCUUUUAAAAAACAUAUAAAUUGUGCAUUUGAUAAUUUUGUAGACAAAACUGGACAUAUUAUAAAAAAAAAGUUAUUUAAAAAAUUAAAAAAAAUAAAAAUAAAAAUUAUGAUUUGGGAUGAAAUCAAACAAAUAAUGAAAUUUUAGAAGCAAAAAGUGAUCUAAAACUGGUACAAGCAAGCCAACUAUAGUUUUGAGGAACAAUUAGGAGUUUGAUUGAAAAGAAAAUUAAAGAAAAAAAAGUUGAAAUAUUUGACCAAAUUUACUUAAGAGACAGGUUGGAGAGACAAAUCAUGUUUGAGAUAAAGAAACGAGGUUUGUAAGAAAGUUAUGUAGACUUACAUUUAUUAUAUAUUAGGGAAAAAAUAUCUUUUUGUUUAAUUUGAUUUUUCAUGUUGAUCACGGGGCAAACAAUAAUUUAUUAAAUUUUAGAUUGAAAACAAAAAACAGACUAAAAAUACAGGAGUAUUUUUAUAAUUAUCCUUAAAAUUUAUUAAGGAAAGAAAGAAAAAAAAAUUCAACAAUAGAAUACCAAAGUAUAAAAUAUAGAGAAAUCCAAUGAUAAAUCUUAAAUUUGUUAGAAAAAGUCAUGUUUAGUUCACUUACUUUCCUCUUUUUACUCUACAAUUUCUUUAGUUUUUGCAAAUUUAAUUUUAGUUCAAAAUUCAUUUCAUAACAUUUUCAGCCAUUGAGUUUAAUAAAUAAAAGAGAAAGUCGUUUGAAAAUACUGAAAGAGCAAUAAAAUUGGUGAAUGAGCACUUUUUAGAGACGAAACUCAUCUUUCUUGAUACCAACAAGUUUUAUUAUACGAGAAAAAGUUUAAUGGUGGUUGUUUCUUUCUAUAAACAUACAUGCAUGAAAAGUACAUUGAGUUUCUUUUAAUUUUUUUAUUUGGUUGAUUUUUAUUUUUUGAAUGAUUUUGGGAUUUUGUUUUUAGUACAUGCAGGUUUUUAUGGUGUUUUUAUAUGAAAAUGGAUUGAAAAGUAGGUUCUUAGGUUUGACUUAUUGACUUUUUUAAAUAGUGAUUAAUUUUUUUUAUAUGUUUUUAGUUGCAUGAUAUUUCAAAGAAAUUAGUUAGAUUUGUCCUAAACAAGAUUAAGAUAAAAAGAAUAAUCAAUGUAAAAUAUUUGCAUACAUAUCUAUAUUUUAUUUCUACUAUGAAGACUAAUUAACUUCAUGUUUUAAUAUUAAAUUAGUGACAACAACUCCUUUUGAUUUAUUAGUUCAGAUAUAUUUUUAACUUGUUUUUAUAAAAUAUAAAUAGCAUCUUUUCAUAUCUUAAUUUAAAAAAUGUUAAUUAUUGAACUUCAUAAUUUAUUUUGGCGUGUUUUUUAUAAAGUUAUUAUGGCCUCAAACAAACAUCUUGAUAUUGGAUUGAAACUCAAAUUUUUUAGCAUUAAUUUUUUAAUCAUAUCAUUAAAUAAAAAUAGUUUUUUUUAAGUUAUUAAAUCUAGUGAAGUUCAUAAAUUCAGAUCAUGAAUUUUACAAAUUAAAAUUAUUGUUGGAAGAGCUAAUAUUAAAAUUAAUAAUUUAAUAUUAUCAUCAAAUAACGUUUUUAUAUUUAAAAAAAAUUAUUUACCUCACAACGGAGUACAGGUAAAUAGAAUAGUAGAAGUCAGAACACGAGACACUAACGUCAGUUGAACUAAUUCAUAAUUGAUAUGCUUUAUAUGAGCAAUUAAAAUAUCAAAAGAUUUCUGGGUUAAUUUUUAGUUCCCCAUCAUUUGAUGCAGUGCUUGCUAUUUUUUCCAGAUUGGUGAUAUCUUCUGAUUGUUACUUGUUGUAGAUCUCAUUACUUCUACUAACAUCAAAGGAUUUGCAAAAUAACUUCAUGUUUUCUUUAUUUAUUUUUAAAUUAACUGAAAAAUAAAUUUAUCUGCUAAAAUUCAGCUAAUUAAACCAACUAAAUCCGAUCUAAACUUGAUUAAGUUAUCAUUAAAAAAAAAAAUAUAUGCUACUUUAAUAAAUCUAAAUUGAUGUAAUAAUUCAAUAACUCAUGAAUUUAGAACUGUUUAGGAGUAUGGGAAUGUUUGAUUUUCAAAGUAUUUUUUGUUUGGAAAUGUAUCAAAAUAAUAUAUAUUUUUUAUUUUAAAAAAAUUAUUUUUAAUAUCAGCACAUCAAAAUAAUAAAAAAACUAAAAAAAAUAUUAAAUUGAAACAAAUAAAAAAAUAAAUAAAAAAUAUUUUUUUUAAAAAAAUAUUUUUAAAAUAUCUAAUAAUCAUUCACAUUAUUUUAUUUUCUUAAAUGAAAAAAAAAAAGUCGCGUACGAGAGAACCUUUGUUAUUAAUAUCACAUGCAAAGUUUUUAAAAUAAAAUUAUUGUCGUCGUGAAAAUGACAGGGAAUUGAUCUCUUCUCACAAUUAUUUUAUGGCCAGGUGCUGUGGUUGUUAGGGCAGGUGGUCAGUUCCUCAAUCAGAGAGGUAAUGUGUGUAGUUGAAAUAGACUCCCUAGUUAAAAAAAAAACAACACCCUAUUAAAUCAAAUAAAAAAAAAACAAUUUGAAGCAUCAAAGGGUGAAAUAGAAAAAAUAGAAGGACUGAAAUAAAAUAAAACCACAAAAGAGGGUGAAAAAGAGAAACAGCAGUUGGAUGCCACCAAUAGCCUUGGUCUAAUUACAGAUUGCCUAAGUUUGAUGCAGGAGAUAGUCAUUGCAGAUUUUAGUUGCCUAAGUUUGAUCCUUUGUUGAGUUCCUUGCAAGUCUUUUUUUUCUCCUUAUUCAUAAUUUUCAAAAAAAAAAAAAAACAUUUACCGAUCAUAGCUUUAGAUUAAUUAUAUGUGUUAUUGGAAGCGAUGAAGAGCUACUAUCAUGUGCGAUGAAGAGCUACUAUCAUGUGUCAAAGUGAUCAUCAUCAACCUUCCAUUCCUUUCUCUCUCUCUUUUUUUUUUUUUGCUAGGUGAGUACUUGUACAUAUUAUUCUUUUAUUUGUUCGUAAUUAUCUUUAUAUUAUGCUUUUUAUCUUAAUUAUUUCAUAAAAUUGCAUUUUUGUGGGAAUUGCUGCUUUAAACUCAUAAAUGUAAACUAUUUUUUUUCAAUGUAUUCGUUAGAUCGGUGGUAUUUUUUUUCAAUGAUCUAUGAACUAUUGUGUAAAUAAUUGUUAUGUUAGGACAAGGAAUUAAAUGUUUAUCGUUCUACUUAUACCUUGCCUUGUUGCUCUUGAAGCUGGCUUCCAUACAGAGCUGAAGGCCUUCUCCUUCUGUUCCUCUCGCUAUAUUUUAUUAUUGAGCAGUCAGUACCGGUGCUUUCCGCAUAUAUUUUCACAAAUUAAGGUAAUAAAAUUACUAUUUUCAUUCUCUAAAUGCCUAUUUACUUGUAAUGACUCACUCUCACAGUCGGCAUUCUUAUAUCUCUAAUUUUUUAGACUGGUGAAAAAUGGCUAUCGAAAGUGUUGGUGGAUCCAUUGUAUCUAAGAUAGCAGAACUCUUGGUGGAACCAACAAUAAGGCAGUUCCGUUACAUGUUCUGUUUCAACAAUUUUGUUCAAGAAUUCGAUGAACAAAUGAUGAACCUGGCUUUGGCAUUUUAUCCUCUGCAAGAUGCUGUCGAUGUUGCUAAAAGGAAUGCUGAAGAAAUUGAGAUUAAUGUCAACACAUGGCUGGAAAAAGCAAAAAACGAAAUUGAAGGUGUGAAUCAUUUGCAAAAUGAAAAGGGAAAAAUUGGCAAAUGCUUUACUUGGUGUCCAAAUCCGACGCGACAAUUGAAGUUAAGCAAGGCACUGGCAAAGAAGACGGAGACUUUGAGAAAACUUGAAGCAAACAGUAAGUUUCCAAAAGUGUCCUACAAACCACCUCUUCAAGGCAUAGAAUUUCUUCCAUCGGAGGAAUUGACGCCUUCAGAAUCGUCAAAAGCAGCUUUCGAACAGAUUAUGAAAGCUCUCAAAGAUGACAAUGUCAAUAUGAUCGGACUGUACGGCAUGGGAGGGGUGGGUAAAACCACUCUAGUGAAAGAAGUAGGAAGGAGAGCCAAAGAGUCGAAGCUGUUUGAUGAAGUUUUGAUGGCUACACUGUCCCAGAAUCCAAAUGUCAUAGACAUUCAGGAUCGAAUGGCAGAUAGUUUAGGUCUGCAUUUUGGCGAAAAGACUAAAGAAGGGAGAGCAGAUCGAUUAUGGCAGAGACUGAAGACAGAGAAGAAGAUGCUUAUAAUCCUGGAUGAUGUUUGGAAAGUUCUUAACUUGAAAGAGAUAGGGAUCCCAUUUGGUGAUGCUCACAGGGGUUGUAAAAUUCUUCUAACAACACGUCUUGAAAACAUAUGUUCUUCUAUGAAGUGCCAGCCAAAAGUGUUCUUAAGUCUCUUAUCAGAAAAUGAAGCAUGGGGUUUAUUCAAAAUCAAUGCAGGUUUACAUGAUGAGGACUCUACCUUGAACACAGUGGCGAAGGAGGUUGCGAGAGAAUGUAAAGGAUUGCCUAUAGCACUUGUGACAGUGGGAAGGGCUUUAAGAGAUAAAUCUGCUGUUGAGUGGGAAGUAGCGUCUAAAGAGCUCAAAAACUCUCAAUUUCGGCACAUGGAUGAACUUGAUGAACAAGAAAAUGCAUAUGCAUGUCUUAAGUUGAGCUAUGAUUAUUUGAAGCACGAGAAAGCCAAGUUAUGUUUCUUGCUAUGCUGUUUAUUUCCAGAAGAUUACGACAUUCCAAUCGAGGAGUUGACGAGAUAUGCAGUUGCCUAUGGGUUACAUCAAGAUGUGGAGUCCAUUGAAGAUGCAAGGAAACGAGUUUGCGCAACACUCUCUUGAUUCAUUGCAUAAAAUUUUUUCAUGUGAAAGAUGUUUUUCAUCUCAAGAAAGCAACUUAAUUGUGCCUCAAGUCAAGUCAAGACAUUUUAAAGUGCAGUUUUAUGUUUGUUUGGUACAUAAAUACAAAGUACUUUUAAAAAAUAUAUUUCAUUUAAAAUAUUAUUUUAUAUUUACAUUUUAAAGUGUGGUGUUAUGUUUGUUUGGUACAGGGGGGAUAUAAAGUACUUUUUAAAAAUAUAUUUCAUUUGAAAUAUUUUUUUAUGUUUAUAUUUUAAAGUGUGAUUUUAUGUUUGUUUGGUACAGGGAUAUGAAGUACUUUUUAAAAAUAUAUUUCAUUUGAAAUAUUUUUUUAUGUUUAUUUAUUUUUUAUAAUAGUACAUCAAAAUCAUUAAAAAAUUAAUUUAUUAUUUUUUCAAGUAAAAUGUAUUUUUUAAACUCAUCAAAAAACAUAAACUUCCACACUUUCAAAGAUUUUGCAAUUUUGAUGGAGACCCUUAAAAAUUACUAUACUCUCAAAUUGAGCUUAUACACUUUGAGUCAUUCAAGGACUCCACAUCGAUCUAGAUUUUGCAAUUUUGAUGGAGACCCUUAAAAACAAUCAAAGAGCUUUUGUGCAGCUUAUAUAAAUAAAUGUAUGAUUGAUCAUUCGGAUGAGAAUGCGAGUGUGUGUUUGGACCUCCAUUAUGCGGUCCAUUCUUUAAUUUUCAAAGGGUUUGGUUGUGAAAAGAUGGCGGUGGACCCCCAACUUUAAUUUUUUUUUUUAAAUAAGCUAUAAUUUUGAUGUUUUUAUGAUUAAAAAGAAGGAAAAAAAACAUAAUACCAUUAUAAAUCCCUUACAAAAAUUAUCACUCAACCUUUUCUUCCAUGCAUUUUUUAGAUAUAUUCUUUCCCAUAACUACAAAUUAAAACUAUUAUGAUUCCGGUCAUCUUUGAUAUAUCUUUUAAUAAUUGAAUUAAAUAAAUAAAAAUCCACUAGCUCUUUCUUAACAAAAAAAAUGGAAAAAUAAGUGACUCGAAGUCAUUGAAGCAAUCUCAGUGCAUUGCUUUCCAUUGAUCAUGUCAUUGCUGGCUGAGCCACGUGACCAUAUAGAGCAGUUGGACCCAAAUAGGUAAACCUAGCUAGAUAUUAUAAUGGGAGAAAAAGGAGUAACAAGGUAUGGCCCCAGACAUGAUUGAUAUAUACGUGUAUGAUAUGAUAUGACAUGAUUUUCCCCUUACCAUUAUUAUUUGGCACAUGAUACUGAUUUGAUAUAUUUUUUUGUAGUUGCCGUUGUGCUAUUUCUAAGGCGUUUGAUUGUCUCUCCCUGUUUCAGACAAACAAGGCCGUGUUUGUUUUGUUUCUAUAAAGCACUAUCGUUACCUGUUUUUACCAUUCGCAAAUUACUAGGUAAAAACCUUCGAGGCAUCAAACCAUGUUUUCAAAUAUCCCGUGAAUUCCACAAGGAUAGAGGAGAACAGGACAUGAACAUGGAACAUGUUUAUCUUAAUUAUAGAUUUGAGAAUAUUUAGUUAAUUAAAGCAUACUAUAAUUUUAUAUGGGUGCAACUAAAAACUCUUUCUUGAAAUAUUAAUUAAAAAAACUAUAAUUUAUACUUUUUAUUAAAUUUAUAUUUUCAAAACGCAUUCACAAAAACUACUAUAAUGCAUGUGUUUAUUUGUGUGACCAACCAUUAAAUUAGUUGCGGAAAUAACAAAUCACGUCCUCAAAUUUUAUCCAAAAAAAAAUAAAGAGGCUCCUAAUAUUAAUUAGCAUUAAUCAAACUACAGAAGGAUUUGACUGAUAGGCCUAAUUGUUUUCGUUAAGAUGCAUUUAAUGCAAAGCCUAGCAUCGAUUGCAAUAUUGGAAAUUUUAAUUUCCAUAGUUUGUCCAUUCACAAGUCAUGUAAUUUUAAACCCCCCUCUCGGAGAACCGAAUAAAUGCUUUACAUGAUUGGUUCAAACGGCUGCGUUUCUUUAGGUUUGAUCAAUUCUUUUGCAUAGCCCAUGUUUAAUGGCUAAUCGGUUGCACUUUAAAUUUUUUUAAAAACAUAUUAAAAUAAUAUUAUUUUUUAUAUCAAUCCAUUAAAAAAAUAUAAAUAUAUAAGAAAAUUAAUUUAUAAAUAAAAAUAAAAAAAUAUUAAUUUGAAGUACAUAAAAAAAUAAAUAAAAUUUAAUUUUUUUUCAAAAAUAUUUUAAAAAUAUCUAAUAAUCAUUCAAAUUAUUUUAUUUUCUUAAACGAAAAAAAAAAAGUCGCGUACGAGAGAACCUUUGUUAUUAAUAUCUCAUGCAAAGUUUUUAAAACAACAUUAUUGUCGUCGUGAAAAUGACAGGGAAUUGACCUCUUCUCACCAUUUUUUAUCAAACCUUAGUCAUUGCAGAUUUUAGUUGCCUAAGUUUGAUCCCUUGUUGAGUUCCUUAUUCAUAAUUUUCUAAAAAAGUUUUUUUUUCUCCUUAUUCAUAAUUUUCUAAAAAAGAAACAAAAAAAAAAAGAAGACCGAUCAUAGCUUUAGAUUAAUUAUGUGUUAUUGGAAGAGAUGAGGAGCUAGUAUCAUUCGUGCAGGUGUCAAAGUGAUCAUCAUCAGCCUUCCAUUCCUUACUCUCUUUGCUAGGUGAGCACUUGUGCAUAUUAUUCUUAAUUUUAUUUGUUCGUAAUGAUCUUUAUAUUAUGCUUUUUAUCUUAAUUAUGUCAUAAAAUUGCAUUUUUGUGGGAAUUGCUGCUUUAAACUCAUAAGUGUAAACUAUUUUGUUUCAAUGUAUUCGUUAGAUCGGUGGUAUGCUAUCUUUCACUAAUGAAAUUCUUUUUAUUGGUUUUGAGAAGAAAAAAAAAAGUAUUUCUAUCUUUGUUUUAUGGAAAAAGCACAUAGAUAAAAAAGAAAUGGGUGUAUGAUGCAGAGAUAGUCAUUACAGAUUUUAGUUGCCUAAGAUUGAUCCUUUGUUGAGUUCGUUCCAUUAAUUAUAUUUCCUUGCAAGUCUUUUUUUCUCCUUUAUUCAUAUUUUUUUUAAAUUAAAUGUGUUAUUGGAAGCGAUGAGCAGCUCGUAUCAUUCGUGCAGGUGUCAAAGUGAUCAUCAUCAUCCUUCCAUACAGAGACUGGUGGAAAAUGGCUAUCGAAAGUGUUGGUGGAUCCGCUGUAUCUAAGAUAGCAGAGCUCUUGGUGGAACCAGCAAUAAGGCAGUUCCGUUACAUGUUCUGCUUCAACAAUUUUGUUCACGAAUUCAUUGAACGAAAGCAGAGCCUUGCUUUAGCGCUAGAUCGUCUACAAAAUGAGGUCAUAGUUGCUGAAAGGAAGGCUGAAGAAAUUGAGAAAGAUGUCAGUAAAUGGCUGGAAGAUGCAAACAACGAAAUUGAAGGCGUGAAUCCUUUGGAAAAUGAAAUAGGAAGAAAUGGCAAAUGCUUGACUUGGUGUCCAAAUUGGAUGCGACAAUUCAAGUUAAGCAAGGCACUGGCAAAGAAGACGGAGACUUUGAGAAAACUUGAAGAAAAUAGCAGAAAAUUUCCAAAAGUGUCCCACAAAACACCUCUUCAAGACAUAGAAUUUCUUCCAUCAGAGGGACUCACACCCUCGGAAUCAUCAAACGAAGCUUUCGAACAGAUAAUGAAAGAUCUCAAAGAUGACACUAUCAAUAUUAUCGGACUGUACGGCAUGGGAGGGGUGGGUAAAACCACCCUGGUCAAAGAAGUAGGUAGGGGAGCCAAAGAGUUGCAGCUUGUUGAUGAAGUUUUGAUAGCCACGGUGUCCCAGAAUCCAAAUGUCACAGACAUGCAGGAUCAAAUGGCAGAUAGUUUAGGUCUGCAUUUUGACGGAAAGAGUGAAAAGGGGAGAGCAGGUCGGUUAUGGCAGAGACUUCAGGGAAAGAAGAUGCUUAUAAUCCUCGAUGAUGCUUGGAAAGAUAUUGACUUGAAAGAGAUAGGGAUCCCAUUUGGUGAUGCUCACAGGAGUUGUAAAAUUCUUCUAACAACACGUCUUGAAAACAUAUGUUCUUCUAUGAAGUGCCAGCAAAAAGUGUUAUUAAGAGUCUUAUCUGAAAAUGAAGCAUGGGCUUUAUUCAAAAUCAAUGCAGGUUUACGUGAUGAGGACUCUGACUUGAACAGAGUGGCAAAGGAGGUUGCGAGAGAAUGUAAAGGAUUGCCUAUAGCACUUGUGACAGUGGGAAGGGCUCUAAGAGAUAAAUCUGCAGUUGAGUGGGAAGUAGCAUUUGAUCAGCUAAAAAAGUCUCAAUUUCCGGACAUGGAACAAAUUGAUGAACAAAAAAAUGCAUAUGCAUGUCUUAAGUUGAGCUAUGAUUAUUUGAAGCACGAGAAAACCAAGUUAUGUUUCUUGCUAUGCUGUUUAUUUCCAGAAGAUUACAACAUUCCAAUUGAGGACUUGACAAGAUACGCAGUUGGCUAUGGGUUACAUCAAGAUGUGGAGUCCAUUGAAGAUGCAAGGAAACGAGUUUAUGUGGCAAUCAAAAACCUCAAAGCUUGUUGUAUGCUGUUAGGAACUGAAACUGAAGAAUAUGUCAAAAUGCAUGACUUGGUUCGUGAUGUUGCUAUUCAGAUAGCAUCAUCAGAAAAAUACGGAUUCAUGGUAAAGGCUGGCUUUGGGUUGAAGGAGUGGCCAAUGAGGAAUAAAAGCUUUGAAGGAUGUACAGUAAUCUCGUUAAUGGGCAAUAAACUAACAGAUCUUCCUGAAGGAUUGGUGUGUCCACAGCUCAAAGUUCUAUUAUUAGAACUGGAUCGUGGUUUGAAUGUUCCAGAGAGGUUUUUUGAAGGGAUGAAAGAAAUUGAAGUUUUGUCUCUAAAGGGAGGGUGUUUUUCAUUGCAAUCACUUCAAUUCUCAACGAACCUUCAAUCGUUGCUGUUGAUGGAGUGUAAAUGCAAGGACCUCAUUUGGUUGAGAAAGCUGCAAAGACUU
rnacentral:lncRNA from 1 species